rnacentral:lncRNA from 1 species
GAUUGCACGCCUCCCAUUUAUCGGGCAUAAUCGGGAGUGCCUGGGGGGAUGUUUAACCGAUCCAUUUGAUUUGUGGCUGUGAUCGAGUCAUUUGACGUGUGGUCAUAGUUGAAUUUGGCACUAGUCAUGAAUUCAUGGAUCAUCUUCGUGACAUCUUUUAGAAAGCCUUUCCUAUUUUAGUAAGAAAGAAGGAAAAGCAUUUAUAGUAAGACAUAUAUAGUCCCAUC